AGUCACGUGGUCUAAUGGUUAUGAUUUCUCGUUCACAUCGGAUUUCCUUUCGAGGCGCCGAGAAGGUUCCCGGUUCGAUCCCGGGCGUGACUA